UACGUAGGUGGCAAGCGUUGUCCGGAUUUACUGGGCGUAAAGAGCGCGCAGGCGGUCGAUUAAGUCGGAUGUGAAAGCCCUUGGCUCAACUGAGGAAGUGCACCCGAAACUGAGUAGCUGGAGUACGAAAGAGGGUCGCGGAAUUCCCGGUGUAGAGGUGAAAUUCGUAGAUAUCGGGAGGAAAACCGGUGGCGAAGGCGGCGACCUGGGUCGAUACUGACGCUGAGGCGCGAAAGCGUGGGGAGCAAACAGG
rnacentral:rRNA from 1 species